AGGAACGGAGUAGCGGGCUGGUGGCAAGUUGAAGCAACGAUCGAUCACCAGAGGCGCGUGGAUCGGCCCAGGUAGAACGCACAGCUUAAGAAGUAACACUAAUAGCAUAUCAGUGAGUAACAUACUGCUUGCCAAAAUCUAGUCAGACAGUGAAGGGCGACCAUCAUGGUAAGAGCAACUUCAGUGCAUCUGUGUUUUUUAUUUGAAGUUGCGCAACAUAGGACUACUUACAAAAAUUUAUAAAGGGGUCAGGUAAAACCAAGAGAAAUUUCAUGAAGCAGGUGCUUAAGGGAAUAACAGAAGCAUUAUCUAUCUCGGUCAUAUAGCUGAAAUGAUCCUUAGGUAAUGAAUUAUUUAUUCCUUUCUUUAUAUAGAGUAAAGGCAUUCCUUACCAUAUGCAUUGCCGAUCUUGUCUGUAGUUUGGAAAAUAGCUGUCACAGCUACACAUAAGAUCAUUAAUGCAUAGUUGA